AUUUAUGCUUUGAACGUUGGCAGUAGCUGUUCAUCUUCUCUAUCGAUCACAUCAUGGCCAAGGGUAAAGGAGGAAAAGGAGGUGGAGCCGCUGCCGGGGAGGAGAAAAAGGCCGCAGGUGGAGGUGGGGCUAAAGGAGGUGGAGAGAAACCAAAAGGAGGAGAAAAAGGGGGAAAGAAAGGUGGCAAGAAGUGAUGCUGGCACAAUCCGGGCCCUUCUCACAGAUCUUUAGCUGUUUCUUGACAACGGCUGGCCCUACCUUGACUAUCUCCGAUGUUCACAAUAGACACUGUUCUUUGUACCUCUCUUUGUGCUGGUGUCUGUACAAAUCUUGAAGAGUCUCAAGUUAAAUGUUGUAGUUUUGUUGUGGUCAGCUGAUUAAGUUUAAGUGUUGUUGAUGUUAAUAUUGUUUACACAAAGUUACCAUGAAGCAAACAAAGUUACCAUUGUUGGAUGUAGAAGUUAAACUUAAUUUAUUUUUUGUGGCUGGAAUUGUUUUAGCAAUCACAGAAAAUGUUGCUAAUUUAAAGAUUAUAAGUUAAUGUAUUAAUUAAUUCAAUUAUUUUAUUUUGUAUAUAAAAAUUACACAUAAAUAAAUGUUUUAAAAUUUCUUUUACUAAAUGUUUACUGCUUACUUGGUAAAAUCAAUAAUAAAUAUACAAGUAAUAGUAAGAUUAAAAAUGUAAAAUCAAAUUCUGUGUCAGAAAAACAUAAAAUUAUGAAAAUACAACACAAACUUUAAUUGGUAUUAUCAUUAAGAUGUGGAUUGAUUUAGGAAGUUUUACAUUUAAGUCAAACAUUAAUUACUAUGAAGGUUAAGAAUAUUACAAUCAAUGAAAUGAAAAUUUAACAAGAGAAUGCAAGAAAAUGAAAAAUGUGAUGCACAAAGGAAAAACUUGACAAGUGAGAUCAACCUAAUUAAUAGUGAGUUAUCAGUGAUUACUAAAAUGUAUAAACUAAUUGUUUAAAAAUUGGAUUUAGUUUAUUGCAGGCCUUUCUUAACGAGGUACCAUAAGCCUUAUUGUUCACAGAAAUAAAACCAUGUAAACAAUUUCUUUUAACACAAUAAAUGCAUUAUCUAUUUUCUAAAUAAA